CCCUUAGAUGUUCUGGGCCGCACGCGUGCUACACUGAACGGUUCAAUGGGUAAGGUAGUGCGAAAGCAUGACCUAAUCUCGAAAUCCGUUCGUGCUGGGGAUAGAAGCUUGCAAUUAUCCUUCUUGAACGAGGAAUACCUUGUAAGCGUGAGUCAUCAUCUCACGCAGAAUACGUCCCUGCCCUUUGUACACACCGCCCGUCGCUCCUACCGAUUGAGUGUUCCGGUGAGGCUUUGGGAGAAUGGCCUCAACAUGAGUUUAUCGUGUUUUGCCGUUUGAACUUAGUCAAACCUUAUCACUUAGAGGAAGGAGAAGUCGUAACA
rnacentral:rRNA from 1 species